AUAUAUAUAUAAACAAAAAUAAAAAUCAAAAUGCACUCACAGGUCUUCUGGUUAAUAGGAAACCAGAAGACCUGUGAGUGCAUUUUGAUUUUUAUUUUUGUUUAUAU